GUGCUCACUUUGGCAGCACAUAUACCUAAAUUAGAAAGAUACCGAGAAGUUUGACAUGGCCCCUGCUCAACAUUGACAUACACACUCAAGAAGAGUUCCACAUUUUU